rnacentral:rRNA from 1 species
UACGUAGGGUCCGAGCGUCGUCCGGAAUUAUUGGGCGUAAAGAGCUCGUAGGCGGUUUGUCGCGUCUGCUGUGAAAUCCCGAGGCUCAACCUCGGGUCUGCAGUGGGUACGGGCAGACUGGAGUGCGGUAGGGGAGAAUGGAAUUCCUGGUGUAGCGGUGGAAUGCGCAGAUAUCAGGAGGAACACCGGUGGCGAAGGCGGGUCUCUGGGCCGAUACUGACGCUGAGGAGCGAAAGCGUGGGGAGCGAACAGG